rnacentral:lncRNA from 1 species
ACCACAUUUUGGUUAUCUGUUUAUCAGUGAUGGACAUUUGGGUUGUUUCCACUUUUUGGCUAUCGUGAAUAAUGGUCCUCCUCUUUAGUAAUCCAGUGAAAGAUGUGGACCUGUCACUGGAAAAAAUGCACACUUGUGUCUAUGUACAAUGUUGCAUGGGUGAUAUCCCCUUGCAUUGGACCUUCUGUGCUUCUGCUUUACUUGUCAAAUUCCUCCUUGACAAAUCUUUAUCAAGCACUUUCACAAGUCCUCUAGUUAAUCUUUUUGUUUUUUGCAAUAAUUGAAUAGUUAUUUUGAUAAGCUCUAAUCCAGACAGACUUUUAAAAAGAGUGACUGAGAUGUUAAGUUCUGUCCCAAAGAUGGUCAAGAUCCUCUGCUACCAAGAGCAAACAGAUUAAUCUAUCCCAACUGUGCACAAGCUUCCAUAUGUCAGGCUCAACCACAGGAAAUUGUCAGUUUCUGACCCACAAAAAUGGCUAUUUCACAGGAAACAAACAACGUAAGAAUUUCCCCAAUGUGAGUCAUGUUUAAAAAUACAGUGAGAGGAAAGUUGACAUUUUGCAAAAUAAGCAGCAUUUUCUAAUUUCACAAAAAGGCAGAACAAAUAAAAUGCCUGCUUCUGCCCAACCUGCCUCCCAGUGACAAUGAAUUACGGAUGACAAAGCAUUGGGAAUGGCUCUCAUGGCUGCACAACAGCUUCCUAUUGGUAGGAUUCCAAAAGCUUACCGUGUGGAAACUACUCGCAUGGUGCCUAAACAGGACCUGUUACUUAAUGACCUUGACCCACUGAAACAAUUUUCUAUUACAAUGAAGUAUACACACUCUUAUCACUUUGUUGUUUCCUUAGCUCCAACUCUUAUAAACAUCAACAGGAUGUUUUUUAUUUGUGCUCCUGCCCAUAAUAUAAACCUAAAAAAAUCUACCCAUGCCAAACAUAAUUUUUGAGUACUUACACAUUCAAGGCAGUGUAGAGGACACAAAGACAGUUACUCCUACCCCACUGUCCUUUUGGUCUAGUAGAGGGAAAUAUGACUUUAUUUGUAUUUGUCAAUUCCAACAUUUAUUGAGUAUCAUUUUGUGGACUGAGUACCUACUGUGAUGAUCAUUACUCAUAAACUAUUAAAUACUGAGAA